GAUGAAGAACGCAGCGAAAUGCGAUACGUAAUGUGAAUUGCAGAAUUCAGUGAAUCAUCGAGUCUUUGAACGCACAUUGCGCCCCCUGGUAUUCCGGGGGGCAUGCCUGUUCGAGCGUCAUUUACCCCCUCAAGCUCCGCUUGGUGUUGGGCGUCUGUCCCGCUUCGCGCGCGGACUCGCCCCAAAGGUAUUGGCAGCGGUCGUGCCAGCUUCUCGCGCAGCACAUUGCGCUUCUCGAGGCACCGGUGGGCCCGCGUCCAUCAAGCUCACCCCCCCAGUUUGACCUCGGAUCAGGUAGGGAUACCCGCUGAACUUAAGCAUAUCAAUAAGCGGAGGA
rnacentral:misc_RNA from 1 species